rnacentral:tRNA from 1 species
CAUCAGAUGACUGAAAGUAAGUAAUGGUCUCUUAAACCAGUAUAUAGUAAUUAACAUCUACUUCUGAUGA